rnacentral:rRNA from 1 species
UUAAGCGACUAAGCGUACACGGUGGAUGCCCUGGCAGUCAGAGGCGAUGAAGGACGUGCUAAUCUGCGAAAAGCGUCGGUAAGGUGAUAUGAACCGUUACAGCCGGCGAUGUCCGAAUGGGGAAACCCAGUGCAAUUCGUUGCACUAUCGUUAACUGAAUACAUAGGUUAACGAGGCGAACCGGGGGAACUGAAACAUCUAAGUACCCCGAGGAAAAGAAAUCAACCGAGAUUCCCCCAGUAGCGGCGAGCGAACGGGGAGCAGCCCGGAGUCUGAAUCAGCUUGUGUGUUAGUGGAAGCGUCUGGAAAGUCGCAGGGUACAGGGUGAUACUCCCGUACACUAAAACACACAGGUUGUGAACUCGAAGAGUAGGGCGGGACACGUGGUAUCCUGUCUGAAUAUGGGGGGACCAUCCUCCAAGGCUAAAUACUCCUGACUGACCGAUAGUGAACCAGUACCGUGAGGGAAAGGCGAAAAGAACCCCGGCGAGGGGAGUGAAAAAGAACCUGAAACCGUGUACGUACAAGCAGUAGGAGCCCCACCACCAAAGCGUUUCGCUUUGCGUGGUGCGCAAAAUGCGUAACGACAGCAUGAUGGACGGUUAACGGAGCGUCAGCGACGUUCAACCUCAAAAAUCAGGCAGUGGAGCGUUUUGGGGUGGGGUGACUGCGUACCUUUUGUAUAAUGGGUCAGCGACUUAUAUUCUGUAGCAAGGUUAACCGUAUAGGGGAGCCGCAGGGAAACCGAGUCUUAACUGGGCGUUAAGUUGCAGGGUAUAGACCCGAAACCCGGUGAUCUAGCCAUGGGCAGGUUGAAGGUUGGGUAACACUAACUGGAGGACCGAACCGACUAAUGUUGAAAAAUUAGCGGAUGACUUGUGGCUGGGGGUGAAAGGCCAAUCAAACCGGGAGAUAGCUGGUUCUCCCCGAAAGCUAUUUAGGUAGCGCCUCGUGAAUUCAUCUUCGGGGGUAGAGCACUGUUUCGGCUAGGGGGUCAUCCCGACUUACCAACCCGAUGCAAACUACGAAUACCGAAGAAUGUUAUCACGGGAGACACACGGCGGGUGCUAACGUCCGUCGUGAAGAGGGAAACAACCCAGACCGCCAGCUAAGGUCCCAAAGUCAUGGUUAAGUGGGAAACGAUGUGGGAAGGCCCAGACAGCCAGGAUGUUGGCUUAGAAGCAGCCAUCAUUUAAAGAAAGCGUAAUAGCUCACUGGUCGAGUCGGCCUGCGCGGAAGAUGUAACGGGGCUAAACCAUGCACCGAAGCUGCGGCAGCGACACUAUGUGUUGUUGGGUAGGGGAGCGUUCUGUAAGCCGUUGAAGGUGGCCUGUGAGGGUUGCUGGAGGUAUCAGAAGUGCGAAUGCUGACAUAAGUAACGAUAAUGCGGGUGAAAAACCCGCACGCCGGAAGACCAAGGGUUCCUGUCCAACGUUAAUCGGGGCAGGGUGAGUCGACCCCUAAGGCGAGGCCGAAAGGCGUAGUCGAUGGGAAACAGGUUAAUAUUCCUGUACUUGGUGUUACUGCGAAGGGGGGACGGAGAAGGCUAUGUUGGCCGGGCGACGGUUGUCCCGGUUUAAGCAUGUAGGCGGAUGUUCCAGGUAAAUCCGGAACGUUAUUAACGCUGAGGUGUGAUGACGAGGCACUACGGUGCUGAAGUGACAAAUGCCCUGCUUCCAGGAAAAGCCUCUAAGCAUCAGGUAACAUCAAAUCGUACCCCAAACCGACACAGGUGGUCAGGUAGAGAAUACCAAGGCGCUUGAGAGAACUCGGGUGAAGGAACUAGGCAAAAUGGUGCCGUAACUUCGGGAGAAGGCACGCUGAUGGUAGGUGAAGUGACUUGCUCAUGGAGCUGAAAUCAGUCGAAGAUACCAGCUGGCUGCAACUGUUUAUUAAAAACACAGCACUGUGCAAACACGAAAGUGGACGUAUACGGUGUGACGCCUGCCCGGUGCCGGAAGGUUAAUUGAUGGGGUUAUCCUCGCGGAGAAGCUCUUGAUCGAAGCCCCGGUAAACGGCGGCCGUAACUAUAACGGUCCUAAGGUAGCGAAAUUCCUUGUCGGGUAAGUUCCGACCUGCACGAAUGGCGUAAUGAUGGCCAGGCUGUCUCCACCCGAGACUCAGUGAAAUUGAACUCGCUGUGAAGAUGCAGUGUACCCGCGGCAAGACGGAAAGACCCCGUGAACCUUUACUAUAGCUUGACACUGAACACUGGUCCUUGAUGUGUAGGAUAGGUGGGAGGCUUUGAAGUGUGGACGCCAGUCUGCAUGGAGCCAUCCUUGAAAUACCACCCUUUAAUGGCUGGUGUUCUAACGUGGGCCCGUGAUCCGGGUUGCGGACAGUGUCUGGUGGGUAGUUUGACUGGGGCGGUCUCCUCCUAAAGAGUAACGGAGGAGCACGAAGGUCAGCUAAUCCUGGUCGGACAUCAGGAGGUUAGUGCAAUGGCAUAAGCUGGCUUGACUGCGAGCGUGACGGCGCGAGCAGGUGCGAAAGCAGGUCAUAGUGAUCCGGUGGUUCUGAAUGGAAGGGCCAUCGCUCAACGGAUAAAAGGUACUCCGGGGAUAACAGGCUGAUACCGCCCAAGAGUUCAUAUCGACGGCGGUGUUUGGCACCUCGAUGUCGGCUCAUCACAUCCUGGGGCUGAAGUAGGUCCCAAGGGUAUGGCUGUUCGCCAUUUAAAGUGGUACGCGAGCUGGGUUUAGAACGUCGUGAGACAGUUCGGUCCCUAUCUGCCGUGGGCGCUGGAGAAUUGAGGGGGGCUGCUCCUAGUACGAGAGGACCGGAGUGGACGCAUCACUGGUGUUCGGGUUGUCAUGCCAAUGGCAUUGCCCGGUAGCUAAAUGCGGAAGAGAUAAGUGCUGAAAGCAUCUAAGCACGAAACUUGCCCCGAGAUGAGUUCUCCCUGACCCUUUAAGGGUCCUGAAGGAACGUUGAAGACGACGACGUUGAUAGGCCGGGUGUGUAAGCGCAGCGAUGCGUUGAGCUAACCGGUACUAAUGAACCGUGAGGCUUAACCUU